rnacentral:tRNA from 1 species
GGGCUCGUGGUCUAGCCGGUUAUGACACCGCUCUCACACAGCGGAGGUCCGGAGUUCGAAUCUCCGCGGGCCCA